rnacentral:lncRNA from 1 species
GCACUGGGGAACUGGGAGAGAUCCUGGGCGGGUGUCCUGCUUCGGAACAGAAGCAGGUGUGCCGGCCUUAGGCAUUCUCAUCCUCAGCUGACAACUCUUCUCUGAUCGGGCUCCACGAGACCCAACGUUUUGAACAACAGUGUCUGAGUCAGUCAUGCAGCUUGUCACAGGACGUCAGUGUUCCAAGAAAGCAGUAGGUACAUUGGGUGCAAUGUCACUUACGUGUCAGGACUGGAGGUAAGACUUCCUUUUUUUUUUUUUUUUUAAAGAUUUUAUUUAUGUAUUUGACAGACAGAGAUCACAAGUAGGCAGAGAUGCAGGCAGAGAGAGAGAGAGAGGAGGAAGCAGACUCCUCGCUGAGCAGAGAGCCGGAUGCGAGGCUCGAUCCCAGGACCCUGAGAUCAUGACCCGAGCUGAAGGUAGAGGCUCAACCCACUGAGCCACCCAGGUGCCCCAAGACCCAACGUUUUGAACAACAGCGUCUGAGUCAGUCAUGCAGCUUGUCACAGGACGUCAGUUCCGAGAAAGCAGCAGGUACAUUGGGCGCAAUGUCACUUACAUAUCAGGACUGGAGGACUUUCAGGACUACGUUGGAAUAGGAGUCUCCGUGUCUCAUUCAUGAUUUUAGAAGACUGGAUUUCCUAUUUUUAAGAACUCCAUGGACCUCACUGUCUUCUAUUUAGGCACCAGUCCUAUUCUUUACUCAUCUACCAUCCCCAGCUUCACUGAUAUGUACAAUAUCCUAUGAGGUGCUAUAUAAUAUUUGUUUAAUUCUUAAUUCUCUUUAGGCAAAUUGAGUUCCUUGGGGUUCUUUGGCACUCAAACUAAAAUCUUGUUUCUGUACUGUGUCAAUCACAUAAUGUCUUGGGUACUUCCCACUUAAGUGGUUGUUAUUUUUCUUGAUUUAUAUAUUAAUGUAAUUAUCAACCCAUCUGUGCCUCAGUUUCUGCUAUGUACUUCUCUUAAAUCUUUUAGUAGACAUGUGAUUCUUUCUUCACUCACUAGCUCCCAAACCCC